rnacentral:rRNA from 1 species
UACGAAGGGGGCUAGCGCUGUUCGGAAUUACUGGGCGUAAAGCGCACGUAGGCGGAUACUUAAGUUAGGGGUGAAAUCCCAAGGCUCAACCUUGGAACUGCCUUUAAUACUGGGUAUCUCGAGUCCGGAAGAGGUGAGUGGAAUUCCGAGUGUAGAGGUGAAAUUCGUAGAUAUUCGGAGGAACACCAGUGGCGAAGGCGGCUCACUGGACCGGUAUUGACGCUGAGGUGCGAAAGCGUGGGGAGCAAACAGG